rnacentral:rRNA from 1 species
CUCCGAGUGCGAGGGCAUUUAGCCCUCGCUUUUCUGAACCGUAAGGUGGUUCAGGAACAAGGACUGGGCAAGACCGGUGCCAGCCGCCGCGGUAAUACCGGCAGUCCAAGUGAUGGCCGAUAUUAUUGGGCCUAAAGCGUCCGUAGCCGGCCGGACAAGUCCGUUGGGAAAUCGACGCGCUCAACGCGUCGGCGUCCAGCGGAAACUGUCCGGCUUGGGGCCGGAAGACUUGAGGGGUACGUCCGGGGUAGGAGUGAAAUCCUGUAAUCCUGGACGGACCACCAAUGGGGAAACCACCUCAAGAAGACGGACCCGACGGUGAGGGACGAAAGCUAGGGUCUCGAACCGGAUUAGAUACCCGGGUAGUCCUAGCUGUAAACGAUGCUCGCUAGGUGUGCCGUAGGCUACGAGCCUGCGCUGCGCCCUAGGGAAGCCGAGAAGCGAGCCGCCUGGGAAGUACGUCUGCAAGGAUGAAACUUAAAGGAAUUGGCGGGGGAGCACCACAACCGGAGGAGCCUGCGGUUUAAUUGGACUCAACGCCGGACAUCUCACCGGUCCCGACAGUAGUAAUGACGGUCAGGUUGACGACUUUACCCGACGCUACUGAGAGGAGGUGCAUGGCCGCCGUCAGCUCGUACCGUGAGGCGUCCUGUUAAGUCAGGCAACGAGCGAGACCCGCACUUCUAGUUGCCAGCAAUACCCUUGAGGUAGUUGGGUACACUAGGAGGACUGCCGCUGCUAAAGCGGAGGAAGGAACGGGCAACGGUAGGUCAGUAUGCCCCGAAUGGACCGGGCAACACGCGGGCUACAAUGGCUCUGACAGUGGGAUGCAACGCCGAGAGGCGACGCUAAUCUCCAAACGGAGUCGUAGUUCGGAUUGCGGGCUGAAACCCGCCCGCAUGAAGCUGG